ensembl:lncRNA
GCUCUGACUUGCAUUUUCAAAAUAAUAUUAACAUGUUAGUGAUCAUACUAAUAGUACAUACACUGAUUCUUACUGGAAAAACCUGGGAAGGACCGGGAUCCAAAUUGCGUGACAGGUGUUACAGGUCGUGGAUCUCCUUACACACAUAAGAAAAGAAGAAAACAGGACAGUUUCCAGCAUGAAUGCAACACCCAGGAGCUGCCAAGGGUGCCUGCACACAGCCACGGCGCCGCGUCUGCACCCCGGCGCUCUGCGUUAUUUCUUCUCGGCAAAGCGGCUCAAACACUUCCCUGAAAUGCAAAAUAUUUUGGAAGCUAAAGAUAGUUCAGGCUGAAAAGCAGACAUCUGACUGACCCUGAGCAAAUAAAUAUGAGUUAUGAAGAAUUCUUAGUGAAAAUAAAUCGCCAUAGGAAUGGAGCUCGUUACUGAAGCAGGCCUGCAGGCACCGCAGCCGCCACCCGUAAACAUCCGUCCAUCCAUUGGAACCCUUCUGGGGAUGGGAAGCACUCACAGUUUCUGCUAAUGGCAUCAAAACAUGCUGCAGAGCUUGAAGGACAGAAAAUGCAGCAAAUGGAAGGUCUGGGAAAACACUGUGUUUAUUUCUGGGCUCUCGUGGCUCGGAUGGAUGAAGAGCUGGAGCUCAGCAAAGGAACGAGUGCCUCCGUCUCCUCCUGCCCCAGCACUGUGAGGAGCACUAACCCCCAUUUAUCAUCCUCAAAGACAGCAAAAGGAGCUGGGAUGAGUGAGUCCCUCUGUCGGCAACACCUAAGAUUUACACCUGGGUUUGCUGACCCGAUUAUCUGCCGAACUGUCUCCUGAGAGAACAGGAGGCUGCGCACCAUCUUCUCUUGGGAGGUCACCUGUGUCUUGCAGCAUCCAGGAACACUGCUCAGUAAUGGCCCACGUUGAGAGAUAUAUCCUCCGCAGUGACAAGAGGCACAACAUCUCAUUGCCACCGAGCUCUUUGAAAUAAAUCACUCCUUGAAGUGCCAGAAGCAAUUUCCAUGAAUCAGGAGAUCAUCACCUGCCAACUUGGCUCACUCACUCAGUGGAAUGUGCUUAGAUGCAGCCAAGGCCGAGUGAUGCCAUCAGCCAGCAUCUCUGGUGCUCCUGGAACCGGGUCCUCCCCCAAGGUCCGUUCCGGUGCACAAGGAGUAAUGCCCAUGGGGAAACGCAUGUGCCAUAGCCCUGCAAAUUCUCAUGCUGGUGGCAAAUGCAAAGGAGUUUUUUAUCCCAGAUCACUGCAGUUUAUUUUGUUUUGCUGUUACGUUGAUUAAAAUAUGCACAGUUAAAUGCACAGACUCUGUCCUUCCUCUCUCCCCCAGCGGCUGCACGCCCCGCAGCCCGCUCUCCUGUCAGGCGGGUGACAGUGACACCAGAUGGCAGCAGUGGCCUUCGGAUCCCAGCAGCUCCCAGCCAAGAGGAGGAUGAGCGUUUCCCCGCGGCCGGCUACCCGGGGCCGGCUUCCCUCCGCCCUCCCCGCUCUGAGGCUCGCCCAGCAUCCUGCAUCGUGCCGUAUGGGCUGCCAGAGCAUCAGUGCGCAGAGCUGCUGUAUGCCGGAGUUGUUCCGUGUGUCAGAACAACACCCAGACUCCAACAUCUCAAGGCAAAAGAGAAAACCCAUGUGUUAGGCUGGGCUUUUGGAGAAGCACUCACCGAGCAGAACUCCCUUGAAGGUGGAGAACAUGGGAUCUUGCAGAAGACUUUCAAGGCAGCUUAUAAACCAUACCAACAUGCAUCAGUGGAAAUACUGUUUACUUCAAUAUUAUUUUUCUCACUUCUCUAUUACUGCGCUGUAGUGCUUUAAUCUCCUGAAUAAGUUUUGUUUAUUAUAACACCCAAAUAUAGUUGAUUUCUAUAUUGAUUUAGGGGCUAUCCAUUUACCCGCUCGCCUGUGCAUCACUCCAGAAAUUAUUAGUGCACCGACUGCCAACAGAAAAGCAAACCCAAAACACUGGAGUGACUGAUGUGUGAGUUUGGGUAGAGUGCAGCAAGGAACAAGCAGAAAUAAAUCCUUUUGGCUUCACUCACAUACAUAGGGCAGUGCCCCAGCAAACAGCAGGACUGGACGUCUGGGUUCAGCUCUACUUGUACCCAGAAGCUUGGACAAGCCCAGCAGAACCUCCUGUAUUGGGAAAAAUCUCAGAAGCACCAAUAAUGUUGGAUCAUGGACUCAGUUUCUUCUCAUUCCUCCACUGCCCCUGUGCAAAGCACAGCACUGCCCUUUGGGUUCGCCCAUCAAAGCUGGGAUGAGCCCAGGGAGGAGGACAGGCUGGGAUGGAUCCCUUUGGAAGUGUUACAGUUCCGCACAACCAGAAAACAACAGGCAGCACAUGAACAAAACCGUGGGUGAUCGCAUCUCCAACAGCAGCUUGCAGUGGCUGUGGAUAGCAAUAGCGUUCAGGCUUUGCAGCUUGGGAUGCUAAGAAGGUGCUGCAGCAUAUUGCCUUGUAAUAACAUGAAGCAAAAGCUCAGCAGAAAGGCUGUGAACCAGAUAAGAUUGAUUAAACAAUUUCUAACCAACGGGGUUGCACAUAAAAAUUUUAUUAAAACCUCAAGUGCUAAAUUUAUUUCCUGGGUCUGUCACUGCUAUUUUUUUUUUUUUUUUUAUUCAGUAGUGAUAAUUACUACAUUAGAAAUUAAAUGAACCUCAUAUACUACAUCUUUCAGACCUCCUAGGAGAGUUGUGAAAGUGAUUUAGGGAAGUGAAUUUGCUAUUGUGCCUAAUCAAGUUACAGUAAUUGUCACCUAUAAUUUUAACUUGACUGCUAUGUGUUUAAUUGGGAGCUUUACCUUUGGAUUUUUGUAACGAAGAUUCUCUAUAUUUUCCUACUUCCCAGCCCCCCCCCCCCCCUCC